ensembl:lncRNA
GGAGGGAGAAGUGAGAGCGGCUAGCAAAACCUCUGUGAUUUUCUGCCCUGGAAACAUGUGGAAGAGAUGUCCAGAGAAAAACGAGCAGGAAUUUUCAGAACAGAUGCUCGGGGUUUCUCCUCCAAAGGCCCAGAUUCUGGGAUCCGAGUGGCCCCCUGCAGGAGACCGUCCUCCUGGCAUGAACAGGCCAGUCUCCCUGGGAAGUGGCCAGAAACCAGGGUGCAGAUUGCAGUUCAGAGGAGCCAGGAACCAGAGGCAGAAGAGGCUCAGCUAAGCAUAUCACCGGCCGGCCGGAGAGACGGCGACAGACAUCGGCCUCAUCCAUGCCAGUCUGGCUGUUACUCCGCCAAUUGAUUGUCUGAUUAAAACUCGGCAUGCUCACUUGAAAUGGGACAUUGACCCCCCAAAGACAUACUGUUCAGAAGGCGUGUUAGGGUCAGGGCUGGCCUGGAGCCCCACCGUUUCUGACAACAGGGUCUGUUCUGUCCUCUGAACUUUCCAUAAAUAGAAAUCUGUC